GUCAGGGGUAAUAGCACGUUGAAUAGACCAGUUCCCAAUGAAUCACUUAAGUUAAGCAAUGUUUCACGUGGUUGGUAUCCGGAUGGGUGACUAUCUGGGCAAUCUCGUACUGCUGGCU
rnacentral:rRNA from 1 species